rnacentral:misc_RNA from 1 species
GAUGAAGAACGUAGCGAAAUGCGAUAAGUAAUGUGAAUUGCAGAAUUCAGUGAAUCAUCGAAUCUUUGAACGCACAUGGCGCCUUCCAGUAUCCUGGGAGGCAUGCCUGUCCGAGCGUCGUUUCAACCCUCGAGCCCCCGUGGCCCGGCGUUGGGGAUCUGCCACGGCAGGCCCCUAAAACCAGUGGCGGACCCGAAGGCCCUCUCCUUUGCGCAGUAGCAUCAGCCUCGCAUUGGGAUCCCUCGGCGUCCUGCCUCUAAACCCCCCACAAGUCCGCUCCGGCGGCACCAAGGUUGACCUCGGAUCAGGUAGGAAUACCCGCUGAACUUAAGCAUAUCAGUAAGCGGAGGA